UGCAAGUCGAGCGAUCUCUUCGGAGAGAGCGGCGGACGGGUGAGUAACGCGUGGGUAACCUGCCCUGUACACACGGAUAACAUACCGAAAGGUAUACUAAUACGGGAUAACAUACGAAAGUCGCAUGGCUUUUGUAUCAAAGCUCCGGCGGUACAGGAUGGACCCGCGUCUGAUUAGCUACCUGGUAAGGUAAUGGCUUACCAAGGCAACGAUCAGUAGCCGACCUGAGAGGGUGAUCGGCCACACUGGAACUGAGACACGGUCCAGACUCCUACGGGAGGCAGCAGUGGGGAAUAUUGCACAAUGGGCGAAAGCCUGAUGCAGGAACGCCGCGUGAGCGAUGAAGGCCUUCGGGUCGUAAAGCUCUGUCCUCAAGGAAGAUAAUGACGGUACUUGAGGAGGAAGCCCCGGCUAACUACGUGCCAGCAGCCGCGGUAAUACGUAGGGGGCUAGCGUUAUCCGGAAUUACUGGGCGUAAAGGGUGCGUAGGUGGUUUUUUAAGUCAGAAGUGAAAGGCUACGGCUCAACCGUAGUAAGCUUUUGAAACUAGAGAACUUGAGUGCAGGAGAGGAGAGUAGAAUUCCUAGUGUAGCGGUGAAAUGCGUAGAUAUUAGGAGGAAUACCAGUAGCGAAGGCGGCUCUCUGGACUGUAACUGACACUGAGGCACGAAAGCGUGGGGAGCAAACAGGAUUAGAUACCCUGGUAGUCCACGCCGUAAACGAUGAGUACUAGGUGUCGGGGGUUACCCCCCUCGGUGCCGCAGCUAACGCAUUAAGUACUCCCGC
rnacentral:rRNA from 1 species